CUUGACUUUGACAUGCAUUUCCUCCUUUUUAAUUCUUUCAGCUACUUCAACAGCAGCUUCAGAUUUGCCUUCCAUCUCAGGAUUUUUGUGAAAUACUUGAACAGUAAAUGAAAAUCCUUUCUUGUUUAAGUUAAGGUUCCCUUACUUUUCUAGAACAGAAAAGAAUUCUCCUGGCGGUGGCUUUUAAUAAAAGAGAAUGAUCCAGAGAGUUUCAGAGUUUCCCCUUCCUGCAUACGCC
rnacentral:misc_RNA from 1 species